UACGAAGGGGGGCUAGCGUUGCUCGGAAUCACUGGGCGUAAAGCGCACGUAGGCGGAUUGCUAAGUCAGGGGUGAAAUCCCGGAGCUCAACUUCGGAACUGCCCUUGAUACAGCACGUCUUGAGUCCGGAAGAGGUGGGUGGAAUUCCUAGUGUAGAGGUGAAAUUCGUAGAUAUUAGGAAGAACACCGGUGGCGAAGGCGGCCCACUGGUCCGGUACUGACGCUGAGGUGCGAAAGCGUGGGGAGCAAACAGG
rnacentral:rRNA from 1 species